ACUCCUACGGGAGGCAGCAGUGGGGAAUAUUGGACAAUGGGCGCAAGCCUGAUCCAGCCAUGCCGCGUGAGUGAUGAAGGCCCUAGGGUUGUAAAGCUCUUUCACCGGUGAAGAUAAUGACGGUAACCGGAGAAGAAGCCCCGGCUAACUUCGUGCCAGCAGCCGCGGUAAUACGAAGGGGGCUAGCGUUGUUCGGAUUUACUGGGCGUAAAGCGCACGUAGGCGGACUAUUAAGUCAGGGGUGAAAUCCCGGGGCUCAACCCCGGAACUGCCUUUGAUACUGGUAGUCUUGAGUUCGAGAGAGGUGAGUGGAAUUCCGAGUGUAGAGGUGAAAUUCGUAGAUAUUCGGAGGAACACCAGUGGCGAAGGCGGCUCACUGGCUCGAUACUGACGCUGAGGUGCGAAAGCGUGGGGAGUAAACAGGAUUAGAAACCCCGGUAGUCCCA
rnacentral:rRNA from 1 species